CAGUCGCCGCGGUAAUACGAAGGGGGCUAGCGUUGUUCGGAUUUACUGGGCGUAAAGGGUGCGUAGGCGGAUUGUUAAGUCAGGGGUGAAAUCCCGAGGCUCAACCUCGGAACUGCCUUUGAUACUGGCGAUCUUGAGUCCGGGAGAGGUGAGUGGAACUGCGAGUGUAGAGGUGAAAUUCGUAGAUAUUCGCAAGAACACCGGUGGCGAAGGCGGCUCACUGGCCCGGAACUGACGCUGAGGCACGAAAGCGUGGGGAGCAAACAGGAUUAGAUACCCCGGUAGUCCCUGUCUCUUAUAC
rnacentral:rRNA from 1 species